rnacentral:rRNA from 1 species
CAAUAGCGUAUAUUAAAGUUGUUGCGGUAAAAAAGCUCGUAGUUGGAUUUCUACCGAAGAUAGCCGGUCGGGUCUUCGACCUUGUAUCUGGUUUUGUCUUUGGUAUCCUCAUAGGGAACGUUUCUGCGCUUUAUUGCGUGGUGCGGUAUCUAUGACUUUUACUUUGAGGAAAUUAGAGUGUUCACGGCAGGCAAACGCCUUGAAUAUAUUAGCAUGGAAUAAUAACAUAGGAUCUUCGUCCUAUUUUGUUGGUUUCUAGGGCUAAGAUAAUGAUUAAUAGGGAUAAUUGGGGGCAUCUGUAUCAACGCGUCAGAGGUGGAAUUCUUGGAUUGCGUUGCGACGAACUACUGCGAAAGCAUUUGCCAAGGAUGUUUUCAUUGA